rnacentral:rRNA from 1 species
AUCGAACCUGGAGAUAGCUGGUUCUCUCCGAAAUAGCUUUAGGGCUAGCCUCAAGUGAUGAUUAUUGGAGGUAGAGCACUGUUUGGACGAGGGGCCCCUCUCGGGUUACCGAAUUCAGACAAACUCCGAAUGCCAAUUAAUUUAACUUGGGAGUCAGAACAUGGGUGAUAAGGUCCGUGUUCGAAAGGGAAACAGCCCAGACCACCAGCUAAGGUCCCAAAAUAUAUGUUAAGUGGAAAAGGAUGUGGCGUUGCCCAGACAACUAGGAUGUUGGCUUAGAAGCAGCCAUCAUUUAAAGAGUGCGUAAUAGCUCACUAGUCGAGUGACACUGCGCCGAAAAUGUACCGGGGCUAAACAUAUUACCGAAGCUGUGGAUUGUCCUUUGGACAAUGGUAGGAGAGCGUUCUAAGGGCGUUGAAGCAUGAUCGUAAGGACAUGUGGAGCGCUUAGAAGUGAGAAUGCCGGUGUGAGUAGCGAAAGACGGGUGAGAAUCCCGUCCACCGAUUGACUAAGGUUUCCAGAGGAAGGCUCGUCCGCUCUGGGUUAGUCGGGUCCUAAGCUGAGGCCGACAGGCGUAGGCGAUGGAUAACAGGUUGAUAUUCCUGUACCACCUAUAAUCGUUUUAAUCGAUGGGGGGACGCAGUAGGAUAGGCGAAGCGUGCGAUUGGAUUGCACGUCUAAGCAGUAAGGCUGAGUAUUAGGCAAAUCCGGUACUCGUUAAGGCUGAGC